rnacentral:miRNA from 1 species
CUGCCUCUCCACCACCGCCACCGCAGCCUGUCCUUCAGCCGGUGGCGUUGGCAGGGAGG